UACGUAGGGGGCAAGCGUUGUCCGGAUUUACUGGGCGUAAAGAGCGCGUAGGCGGAAACGCCAGUCCGGCUUGAAAGCCCCCGGCUCAACCGGGGAGAGUGGCUGGAAACUGCGUUUCUUGAGGGCGAGAGAGGAGGGUGGAAUUACUGGUGUAGCGGUGAAAUGCGUAGAGAUCAGGAGGAACACCCGUGGCGAAGGCGGCCCUCUGGCUCGACCCUGACGCUGAGGCGCGAAAGCGUGGGGAGCGAACGGG
rnacentral:rRNA from 1 species